rnacentral:rRNA from 1 species
UACCCGCGGCUAGACGGAAAGACCCCGUGAACCUUUACUACAGCUUUGCACUGGACUUUGAAUAUAUUUGUGUAGCAUAGCUGGGAGGCUUUGAAGCGUGAACGCCAGUUUGCGUGGAGCCAUCAUUGAAAUACCAGCCUGAUAUGUUUGAGGUUCUAACCCAGGUCCAUUAUCUGGAUCGGGGACAGUGUAUGGUGGGUAGUUUGACUGGGGCGGUCUCCUCCCAAAGAGUAACGGAGGA